rnacentral:tRNA from 1 species
GGCCCCUUCGACCACGGGUUAGGUCACGAGGCCCUCAACCUCGAGAAGCGGGUUCAAGUCCCGCAGGGGCUA